rnacentral:rRNA from 1 species
AUCCGGAGCAGAACUAACAAGGAUUCCCCUAGUAACUGCGAGUGAAGCGGGAAAAGCUCAAAUUUAAAAUCUGAGGGUCUUGUUGGCCUUCCGAGUUGUAAUCUAGAGAAGUGCUAUCCGCGCUGGACCGUGUACAAGUCUCCUGGAACGGAGCGUCAUAGAGGGUGAGAAUCCCGUCUUUGACACGGACUACCAGGGCUUUGUGUGAUACGCUCUCAAAGAGUCGAGUUGUUUGGGAAUGCAGCUCUAAAUGGGUGGUAAAUUCCAUCUAAAGCUAAAUAUUGGCGAGAGACCGAUAGCGAACAAGUACCGUGAGGGAAAGAUGAAAAGAACUUUGGAAAGAGAGUUAAAAAGUACGUGAAAUUGUUGAAAGGGAAACGCUUGAAGUCAGUCGCAUUGGCCAGGGAUCAACCUUGCUUUUGCUUGGUUUAUUUUCUGGUUAAUGGGUCAGCAUCAAUUUUGAUCGGUGGAAAAAGAUCAAGGGAAUGUGGCAUCUUCGGAUGUGUUUUAUAGCCUUUGGUUGUAUACAUCGAUUGGGAUUGAGGAACUCAGCACGCCGCAAGGCCGGGUUUUUAACCACGUACGUGCUUAGGAUGCUGGCAUAAUGGCUUUAAUCGACCCGUCUUGAAACACGGACCAAGGAGUCUAACAUGCACGCGAGUGUUUGGGUGGAAAACCCGAGCGCGUAAUGAAAGUGAAAAUUGAGAUCCCUGUCGUGGGGAGCAUCGAUGCCCGGACCAGAUCUUUUGUGACGGUUCCGCGGUUGAGCGUGUAUGCUGGGACCCGAAAGAUGGUGAACUAUGCCUGAAUAGGGUGAAGCCAGAGGAAACUCUGGUGGAGGCUCGUAGCGAUUCUGACGUGCAAAUCGAUCGUCAAAUUUGGGUAUAGGGGCGAAAGACUAAUCGAACCAUCAGCGGGAUUCU